AAAAAUAAAAAUAACUGCAAAAAGAUAAAAAAAAAAAAAAAAAAAAAAACCAAACAGCAGGCUUCGAGAUCAAGUUAUGGGGCAGCAAGUAAGUACAUUAUUUACAAGAACUGCAUGUACAUUUUUCUGAAAAACACCAGGUGGAGAUAAAAUUUUUGAACUGGCCAAAAGUUGAUAAGCUCCUUGCCUCAUUUGGCAAGGAGUUCCAGAGUUUUGCUGCCUCAUAAC
rnacentral:lncRNA from 1 species